rnacentral:rRNA from 1 species
GCACCCGCGGUAAUUCCAGCUCCAAUGGCGUAUACUAAAGUUGUUGCAGUUAAAAAGCUCGUAGUUGGAUCUGUGGUGGCAGCGGCUGGUCCGCCCCGCAAGGGGUGCGUACUGUUGCUGUGUCUGCCGCCACCCUUGUGGAGAGCGUGGCUGGUCUUAAUUGAUUGGGCACGGGAUCUGCAUCGUUUACUGUGAAAAAAAUAGAGUGUUUCAAGCAGGUAGUGCUUGCUGUGAAUACAUUAGCAUGGAAUAAUGAGAUAGGACUAUGGUGCUAUUUUGUUAGUUUGCACGCCAUGGUAAUGAUUAAUAGGGACAGUUGGGGUAUUCAUAUUUAAUUGUCAGAGGUGAAAUUCUUGGAUUUAUGAAAGAUGAACUAGUGCGAAAGCAUUUACCAAGGAUGUUUUCAUCGAUCAAGAACGAAAGU